rnacentral:rRNA from 1 species
GAUGAACGCUGGCGGCGUGCUUAACACAUGCAAGUCGAACGGGAUCCCAGGGGUGCUUGCCCUUUUUGGUGAGAGUGGCGAACGGGUGAGUAACACGUGAGUAACCUGUCCUUUUCUUUGGGAUAAGCAUUCGAAAGGGUGUUUAAUACCUUAUGUUCUGUCUGCCUCGCAUGGGGUGGGUGGGAAAGGCUUUGGCCGGAUUUGGGUGGGCUCGCGGUCUAUCAGCUUGUUGGUGGGGUGAUGGCUUACCAAGGCUUUGACGGGUAGCGGGCCUGAGAGGGUGGUCGAUCACAUUGGGACUGCGAUACGGCCCGGACGCCUGCGGGAGGCAGCAGUCGGCGAUAUUGCACAAUGGGAGAAAGCAUGAUGCAGCGACGCCGCGUGGGGGAUGAAGGCUUUCGGGUUGUAAACUUCUUUUGCUCUGAGCAAGGCAUGCCAGUGGGUGUGUUGAGUGUAGGGGUUGAUUAGCGCCGGCUAACUACGUG